ACCGGGUAGCCAAAAAAGGAAAAAAAGGAGAAAGAGAAUAAAUUUAUAAAUUCACAGCGCGGAGGUAUUCGCAAAUUUCUCAAGCCAAGUAAUAUUGGUGCCUCUACUACUCUGCCAGACCCAGCUGAUGCGUUGGCGAUUGUUGCCAUUGUGGAAGAGCCACAAACUAAUGAAAACUCAGACUCUGAUCAGAAUAUAAACUCCAACAUCGGCGAUGACAAUAUCUUCAAGUCUAGCACCAACAGGAGUCUGAGUUCCUUAGCACAUGAUGGACUAGGACAUUGGAGGCAUAUUAGUGAGAAGCUCAAAGAACAUGUAAAUAGCAUUGAGCAUAUUAAUAACAUGAAGAAGUGGAAUGAAUUGAGAGUUAGACUGAGAAAACAGGAAACUAUUGACAAGGAUUUGCAACAUCAAAUAACAAAGGAGAAAGAACGUGUCAGGCAAGUUCUGUUAAGAAUAAUAGCAGUUGUGAAAUAUCUUGGUAAACACAACUUGGAUUUUCGUGGAAGUUGUGAGUAACUUUACAAGGAUGAUAAUGGUAAUUUCUCAGCUUGCAUUGAGAUGGUUGCAGAAUUUUAUAUGGUAAUGCAAGAUCACCUUAGACGUGUUGAGAACAAGGAAAUCCAUUAUCACUAUCUCAGUCAUAAAAUACAAAAUGAGCUGAUAUCUCUUUUGGCUUUUGACAUCACAUGUACUAUCAUAAAGGUUGUUAAAGAGCCCAAGUAUUUCUAUGUUAUCCUAGAUUGUACCCCUGAUGUUAGUCAUGAAGAACAAAUGACCUUUUUAGUUCGACGUGUUAAUCUGUCUGAUGGCAAAACAAAAAUCGAGGAGUACUUUCUGGGGUUCUUGAAAGUGGAUGACACUUCUGGCUUAGGGAUUUUCAAAGUACUGCUUGAUUCUGUUGAGUCUUUUGGCCUAAAUAUGCAAGAUAUAAGGGAUCAAGGAUAUGAUAACGGUUCUAAUAUGAAAGUAAACUACUGAGGGGUACAAUCUAGGUUACUUGAUAUGAAUCCAAGAGCAUUAUAUAUGCCAUGUGCAUGUCAUAGUCUAAAUCUCACUCUCUGUGAUAUGGCAAAAUCAUGUGAGAAAGUUGUUUCAUUUUUUGGAAUUGUUCAACGUAUAUAUGUAUUAUUUGCUGGCUCUACAAAAAGGUGGAAUGUUUUGCUUAAACAUGUUCCUAGUUUGACCGUGAAACCAUUGUCCAAUACCCGUUGGGAGAGUAGAAUCAAAAGUGUUACAACAAUAAGAUAUCAAGCCGCUGAGUUAAGGUCAGCUUUGUCUAAGUUACGUCAUGCUUCUGACACUAAUCCUAAAGAUAAAAGUGAUGCCAAAAAUUUAUUUGAUGCACUUGGUCGCUUUGAGUUUCUAGUUGGUACGAUUAUCUGGCAUGAUAUUCUAUUUGAUGUAAAUAAAGUUAGCAAGAUGUUGCAAUUGUCAACCAUGUGCAUUGACUCCGCUUUGAAGAAGAUAAAAGGUAUAACAAAAUAUUUUGAGAAUUACAGAGAUGAGGGGUUUUCUUCAGGUCCGACCAUCACUAAAGGUAUUGCAACUGAAAUGGGAAUAGAGCCAUGGUUUCCAGUGAAACGUUGUGCUAAGAGGAAGAAAUAGUAUGAUGAAAAUUUAAAGAACUCAUGGUCUUUAAAGAUAUAUGUAUUUUUAUUGAGCUCAGGCACUCUCACGUCAUUAAGAGACAAUGAACUUGAAGAAUGUUGCACAAAAUUUGCAGAAGCUUUCUCUCUUAAUGGUUCAUCUGAUGUUGAGGUAUAUGAUCUUAUUUCUGAAUUGAAGAUUAUGAGAAUCACUUUGCCAGAUAGCGCAAUGUCUGCUAUGGAGAUUUUCGGGCAUGUCAGAGAAGUUGAUUGUUACCCCAAUAUAUCCAUUGCCCAUCGCAUCUUAUUUAUUGUGCCUGUGACGGUCGCAUCGGCCGAGAGAAGCUUUUCGAAGUUGAAAUUAUUGAAGAAUUAUUUGAGGUCAACAAUGACUCAAGAGAGGUUAAAUGGUUUGCCCACAUUAUGCAUCGAGAAGAAAUUAUUGGAUCAGAUUGACAUCGACCCCAUCAUAAUUGACUUUGCAUCGAGGAAUGUUAGAAGAAAUUUUGAAGGUAUUAUGUAA
rnacentral:rRNA from 1 species